rnacentral:rRNA from 1 species
UACGUAGGUGGCAAGCGUUGUCCGGAAUUACUGGGUGUAAAGCGCGUGUAGGCGGGAGGCCAAGUCUGCUGUGAAAUCGCUCGGCUCAACUGGGCGGGGUCGGUGGAAACUGGUCACCUGGAGGACGGUAGAGGCGAGUGGAAUUCCCGGUGUAGUGGUGAAAUGCGUAGAGAUCGGGAGGAACACCAGUGGCGAAGGCGGCUCGCUGGGCCGGUCCUGACGCUGAGACGCGAAGGCGUGGGGAGGCGAACGGG